rnacentral:rRNA from 13 species
GCGUAAUGAUUUGGAUACUGUCUCGGAGAGGGGCUCGGUGAAAUAGACUUGUCUGUGAAGAUGCGGACUACCUGCACCAGGACAGAAAGACCCUAUGAAGCUUUACUGUAACCUGAAAUUGAAAUUGGACUUUAGUCGCGCAGUAUAGGUGGGAGGCGUUGAAAGUAUUCUUGCGGGAAUACUGGAGCUAUCAGUGAGAUACCACUCUUCUAAUGUUAGAUUUCUAACUUUGAACCAUUAUCUGGUCAAAGAACAGUUUCAGGCGGGCAGUUUGACUGGGGCGGUCGCCUCCUAAAGCGUAACGGAGGCGCGCGAAGGUUGGCUCAGAGCGGUCGGAAAUCGCUCGUUGAGUGCAAUGGCAGAAGCCAGCCUGACUGCAAGACUGACAAGUCGAGCAGAGUCGAAAGACGGCCAUAGUGAUCCGGUGGUCCCGAGUGGAAGGGCCAUCGCUCAACGGAUAAAAGGUACGCCGGGGAUAACAGGCUGAUACUGCCCAAGAGUCCAUAUCGACGGCAGUGUUUGGCACCUCGAUGUCGGCUCA